AAGAUAUUAUGCCUACAUAGUACAUAAAUGUUUGUGCCUUUUGUAAUGUUUCUUACCUCAAUGAAGAAACUGUUUGUAAUCAAACUUAUCUUUUAUUUCACUUUCAGGUCACGAGCAGGAACAGCAAUAACACCUGUGCUCUUCUAACUUCCUGUCGGUAUCUUCUGCAGCAAUAUUCAGAGGUUCAGUCUAUCAGGAGGCUUUACGGUGCGGUUGGAUCUUCUCAGCACAGGAGACUCCUCCGGUUUCUCCUCAGGAUCUGACCAUCUUCUGUCCUGACAGUGUAAGACCUUGGCUUCACCUCCUCCAGGACCGUGGCUCUUUUAGUCCAGGUACCGGAAUCCUCAAGUCUUACUGUGUCAUUAUUGGAGAGUGGUUCUAGGCUUUUUGAUGCCUUGUCAUAGUUAGCUUUUUGUCUCAGUUUUAGGUGCUUUUGUUUUCUUUUCAGGUAUUUGCUCUUGUUUUGUGUGGCUAAGCAAGGACGUGUGGUUUGUAAUCUGCGCCCCAUCAGUAUUUCAGCAGGAGACACAUCGUGUUCUAGUGGAGAAGCACGGUAAUUCAGCAGAGCUAAAUAAGGAUCUGAUUGGCCGUCCACUGCUUUCUUGAGUAGUAGUUUCACAAUGUGUACUCCUUUCUCUGCCUUUCCGUUCGACUGCGGAUAUAAUGGGCUCGAUGUCACGCGUUGAAACCCAUAUUCCUCAGCAAACUUCUGGAAGUCCUUGCCACUGUUGCACGGCCAUUAUCACUGCAAACCACCUGCGGAAUGCCGUGUCUCGCAAAGAUGGAUUUCAUGUGUGUUAUCACACAAGUACUGGAAAGCAACGCAAUCUCUGGGUAGUUUGACAGAUAGUCUAUCACGAGCAAAUAGUUACGUCCGUCCAGGAAGAAUAAGUCAGUCCCAACUUUCUGCCAUGGUUCAUCCGGUGGAUCAAUGAUGAUCAUUGGCUCCUUUUGUUGCUUAGCAUGAUGCUUCAAGCACGUAUCACAGGUUGACACCAUCCUGUCGAUGUCUGCAUUUAAUCUGGGCCAGUAGAUUGCAGUUCUAGCCCUUCUUUUACAUUUUUCGGCUCCAAGGUGUCCCUCAUGCAGUUUUCUCAACAUCUCCUGUCGCAGUGACUGAGGGAUAAUGAUUCUGUUCUGUCUCAGCAGAAGUCCCUUGACAACACUCAACUCUGUUCUGAUGUUGUAGUACUGGGCACAUUCUCCUCUAGGCCAACCUUCAUUCAGAUGUGUAAUGACCAAAUGCAAACAUUUAUCUUUUUCAGUCUCCACUACAAUUUGUUUGAGUUUUGUGUCUGUGACUGGAAGAGCUUCAGCUACCAUGUUCACAUCCUGAGUCAUAUCAGCCUCCGUGGAACUUUUCCAUUUUCCACUCAUUUCCACAGCUCUGGACAGAGCAUCUGCCAGAACUAGAUGCUUCCCUUGAGUGUAAAUUAGCUCCAUAUCGUAUCUCUGCAGUCGCAUCAUCAGUCGCUGGAUUCUUGGAGACAUUUGGUUCAAGUUUUUUUUAAUCAUGGCAAUUAAUGGCUUGUGAUCUGUCUCUGCCACAAAUGUCGGUAAGCCGUACACAUAGCCGUGAUAUUUCUCCAAGCCAUACACUAAGCCCAGGCACUCUUUUUCAAUCUGUGCGUAUCGACAUUCAGUCUGAGUCAUUGUCCUCGAGGCAUAUGCGACUGGCCUCCAAUUCUCUCCAUCCGCCUGCAGUAGAACUGCACCCAUUCCAUCUUUGGAUGCAUCUGUCGAGAUCUUUGUCUCCUUUGUUGGGUCAAAGAACGUCAGAACAGGCUCUGUAGUGAGGAGAGUCUUCAGUCGUCCCCAUUCUUGUUCAUGAUCAGCUGUCCAUCUGAACUCGCCUUUAACGCACAACAGUUCUCUCAAAUAAACAGUUUUUGAAGACAGGUUAGGUAUGAACUUUCCGAGGAAAUUGAUCAUCCCCAUCACUCUCAAUACAGCCUUUCUGUCUGUGGGUCUGGGCAUUUUGAGUAUUGCUUGUAUCUUACACUUGUCAGGUUCCACACCCCUUUCUGACAGCGUAUCUCCAAGGAACGUGAUUUCCUUCGCUCCAAACCGACACUUGUAUCCUAUUCAACUUGAGCCCAUACUCCCUUACUCGCUGUAGGACGUCCAUGAGCCUCUUAUUGUGCUGUUCUAUUGUGGAGCCCCACAAGACAAUGUCGUCCACAUAAACACGAACGCCUCCUCGAUGCCUUCGAUUAUGUGUUCCAUAGCCCUGUGGAAUACUUCAGGAGCUGAGGAAAUUCCGAACGGCAUCCUCAAGAAGGAGUAGCGGCCAAAGGGUGUGUUGAAUGUGCAAUACUUUGUGCUGUUCCUCAUGUGGUUUCAGCUGCCAAAAGCCCUGGGAUGCAUCCAGCCUCGUAAAGAACUUAGCACCUGCCAUCUCACUUAGCAUUUAAGUCCUUUAAAUCCAUACAAAUACACAGAUCACCAUUGGCUUUCUUCACACACACCAUUGAAUUAACCCACUCUGUAGGCUCUUCCACUUUUCCUAUGACUCCCAUUGUUGUCAUUUUAUCCAGCUCUUGCCUCAGCUUUUCACGAGGUGGUGCUGGAACCCGUCUUGGUGCGUGAACUACUGGCUGCGCAUCUUCUUUUAACUGUAUUUUGUAGGUGAAUGGUAAUACUCCAAACCCUUCAAAGAUGUCUGGAAACUGUUUCACAUUAUGAUCCACACUGUUCUGUGUUUCUCCAUUAUUUAUGGUGUAUAUUCUUCUUACUAGACCCAGGUCUUCACAUGCCUUGUCUCCCAACACGGAAUCAUGGCCAUUUGGAACAACCAGGAACAUGAGGUAAUGUUCUCUGUCUUUAACCUUUACUCUGAGAGUACAUGUUCCUUUUAUUGGAAUGUUGUGGCCAUUAUAAGCUUUGAGUUGCACAAAUUUCUGACUUAUGCGCGGCUUGAUCUUCAUUGCUCUGACAUCAUACUCAGAAAUCAGAUUUACUUUUGCUCCCGUGUCUAGCUUGAGUGAUACUGUUACUCCAUUUAUUUCCAGAGCAGUCAUCCACUUGUCCCGUGAAACACAAUACAUAUCAGUCGGUUCCAUUCUUUCUUGACUGAUAUUGGCCUGCUGCACCAUUCCAACAAAGAAUGUGUCACUGAGGGAUGUUUCUUCCACUGCAUGCACACGCUCUCUUUGACUUUGUCCGCCUUUCGAAAAAGCAUUGCUUGGCAAAAUGAUUCUGCCCUUUACAUUUAGUACAGACUUUGCCAUAAGCUGGGCAUUGUGUUGGCGGGUGUCUUUUGCCACAUCUCUUACAGUUAAACAGUUCUUUCUGCUGUUUCAGUUUACUCAUUCUGCUUUUCUGCAUCUUCUCUGUUACUGCCGCUACAGCUGAAUUGUCACUCCCGCUCAUUUUUGUGUGGUCACCAAAGGUUUUAGCAUGCUGAAUAGCUAUCUCACUGGCAUGACAUAUACACACUGCUUCAUGCAAGGUUAGCUCCGUCUCUCUCAAGAGCCUCUCCCUCACUUUUUUAUCGUUGAAGCCGAACACAAUUUGGUCACAGACCAUUGAAUCUUGCAACAGUCCAAAAUUGCAUGUUUUAGCUUUCAACUUUAAAUCUAUUAAGAAACUGUCAAACGUCUCUCCUUGUUGUUGUAGACGAGAACGAAAAACAUACCUCUCAAAAGUCUCGUUUUUCUUGGUGUGCAGUGCAAAUCAAACUUCUCAAUUACCAUGUCAUAUUUGCUUUUGUCCAUGGCCUGUGCAAACACGAGUGUGUUAAACGCUUCUUUUGACUGAGGUCCCGCGACGGUGAGAAGCAAUGCAAUCUUGCGAGCAUCCGACGCUUCAUCCAGGCCCACUGCUUGCAAGUACAGCGUGAAUCUCUGUUUGAACAUACGCCGUUCGUGAUCAAUGUUUCCAGUCCAGUUCACAGCGUCAGGCGGUUUAACACUUUCCAUGACGACAGUCGAUGUUGGUCGCGAGAAGGAACAGCAAUAACACGUGCUCUUCUAACUUCCUGUCUGUAUCUUCUGCAGUACCUCCACCCUCUCUCCCAUCAACCCCCUUAGUGUACUAGCUCCAACUGGCUGGUAGAGAAGGGCAGCACUCCACUGACGUAGUAAGCAAUUCCCAGGGAGAGGAGAGCGAUGACCACCAGAAGGAGCAGAACCUGUGAACGUUUGAAAUGAGUCCGUAAUGGGGGAUUCUGAGGAAUACACACACCGCAUACGGUCA
ensembl:lncRNA